GAGAGGCGACACACUGGUUUCAUUGUGACACUUCAAAAAGUCUCGACUAUCACUAUGGCAACAGGGAUCCUGUUCACAAACAGACAGUGAUGUUGAUUAGAUUAACUCAGAUGACUGCCUGUAUCACACGUGUUCUUGUUGCCAUGGCAAAGUUGGCUGUGCUGGGAUGGUUACCAUGGUAACGGGGGAGAGAGUGUGUCAUAGAGGAGGAUGGUUUCACAGGGUUGUGUGUUUCUGCAAGGCAUCUGUGGCCACUGUAAGUCUGAACUCCAUUCUGGCUCCCGCAGGGCCUCCAUCACAACUGUAGGAGAAAAUCACAGUGAUAGUGAUUAACACAGU